CUAUAUUUUCUCUAGCUCUGCUGCAAACUUAUGCACCAGAACCAUCUGCACUGAUGAAUUUAACCUACACCUGCUAUCAUCUAUCUCAUUAUAUGUUAAAUGUUUUCAAGCAAUUCAAGAAUCACAGAAUUAUGAUUCUUUUUAAAAACAGUUUAUCUUCUCUUUUUCCAAAAUAAUAGAUGCCUCUGAUUAAAGUUUAAUACAGGAAGGAGAAAUAAAAAUCAGUCUUGCAAACAUGUAAGAAACUGCAAAAAUAUAUAUUGGUCAGUAAUAUCCGCUUUUGGAUUAAAGCUACUCGAGGACUUCCCUCAAAGCCUUGCUCACAACUGAAUAGAUAUGUGUGACCCUAGGCAUUGCUGGAGUUCAUUACUGCCCUUCAGGUGAAAUUAGCACAAGGAUGCACCUGAACUUGGUAUUUUUCUGCCAGCAGAAAGCACUAAUUCAACUACUUGUCUAUGGAGAGAGAAAAGCCUAUGUUACCACCUACAUGCAAUGAAACCUAAGAAUUUUUGCUACUUGGCCAUUGCCCAGCCAUCAGUAUCAUCUUCAUGUCGAUCAUUUUCACCUGCGAGUCCAUUUUUUACAAGAAGAAAUUGCUUUUCUGACUAUGACUGAAACUCCCCCCUACACAUUUUAAUGUUUAUAUGUUGUUCUGGUACUCGUGAUUUAAAAACAAUGGAAAAUGCAAAGUAUAGGAAGAGUUGAUUUGUUGUACAUUCAGAAUUUAGCUAAAAAGAAAGAAGGGAACUAUGAUUUUGAUGCAGUGAGAUAUGUAAGCAUGUGUAUAACAAUAAACACUUGACUAUUCCCGUUGAUACUUUUAAAUUGUAGUUGUGUUCCUUGCCCCACUCCUUUCAGGAGUUUUGAGCAUAUUUCCAAGUCUCCUUCUUUUAUGAGAUUUCUUACAGUGCUAUAUGAAUGUCACUUGGAGAAGGAGUAAAGAUAUUUCAAGAGCUGCUUGUAUUUUUCUACUGUAACAUUAAGCAUAUAUGAUGCUCAUAAAUACACAAUCAACUAUCAAGUGCAUAGACUCUGGAAAUGUCAACUGCUUAUACUGAUCACUUUAGAAAGAGCUGGAAUUUUGGCACUGGUAUUAAUCACUACAACAAUUCUGUUGAGAGGAAGUAUUUACCCAUAUUACACUAGCUAAAGAGCACAGGGAAAUCCAGUAGUGCUGUGCAAGGUGAUAGAGAUAAGGACAAAUUCUCUGGGUAUUGUUCCUUUUGAAACAGACUCCUUGACUGGUCUCUCACUGGGGUUAUUAGUAAUAUUGGUAUUACAUUCUGAAAAUACGAUUGGACCUUUAGCGUCUGUAGUAUAUGUUUUCAGGUUCUCACCUAGUGCUCCUAGUGCUAGUUAUGUCAUUACCAGAAUUUCUCCUAGUUUUAAAUAUCCCACGUUAUUGUUUGGCAUAAUGCAAGCACAGCUACAAAUAGAGGGUGUUUUUUUGUGGGUGUUUUUCUUUUUUUUCUUCAGAAAGUGUUGUCAACAUCUAUUUAAAUAAUAAAUGUUUCAGCAAGGCCAACAGGGUUUUCUGUCAUCCUUUUUGACAUGUGGUACAGCUUUGCUGUAAGCAACAUUAUUACAUGGAAGAAUAUAUUAUAGUCUUUUAUUCAUCCUCCUUUUUCAUUGUGAUGCUGACAAAUACAUAUCAGCUUUGGAAACAUCUUUGGCUUUAAUUUCGUAAGCUUUUUCUCAAAAGAAAACUAAGAAGUUAAAAAUUCUUAGAAAACAUCAAUAGAGAAAAAGCUUUAGGCUUUUACAAAAGAAAAAUCUUGCGUCAACAUUUUUAUUAAAUCACAUAAAAUCAUGUAACUUGAUAUUAUAUCAUAAAAGAAGGGUUUAAGAUACUUCGUUUUUUUACUAUCAUUUUAAUUGAAAGGUUUAAAGUACUUCAUUUUUUUCACUAUCAUUUUA